GGGUGCAAUCAUACCAGCACUUAUGCACCGGAUCCAAUCAGAUUUCCGCAAUUAAGCGUGCUUGGGUGACAGUAGUAGUAGAAUGGGUGACCUCCUUGGAAGACCUCGUAUUGCACCCC
rnacentral:rRNA from 1 species